UCGUAACAAGGUUUCCGUAGGUGAACCUGCGGAAGGAUCAUUACCGAGUGAGGGCCCUCUGGGUCCAACCUCCCACCCAUGUUUAUUGUACCUUGUUGCUUCGGCGGGCCCGCCUCACGGCCGCCGGGGGGCUUCUGCCCUCUGGCCCGCGCCCGCCGAAGACACCAUUGAACACUGUCUGAAGAUUGCAGUCUGAGCAAUUAGCUAAAUAAGUUAAAACUUUCAACAACGGAUCUCUUGGUUCCGGCAUCGAUGAAGAACGCAGCGAAAUGCGAUACGUAAUGUGAAUUGCAGAAUUCAGUGAAUCAUCGAGUCUUUGAACGCACAUUGCGCCCCUUGGUAUUCCGGGGGGCAUGCCUGUCCGAGCGUCAUUGCUGCCCUCAAGCACGGCUUGUGUGUUGGGCCCCGUCCUCCUUCCCGGGGGACGGGCCCGAAAGGCAGCGGCGGCACCGCGUCCGGUCCUCGAGCGUAUGGGGCUUUGUCACCCGCUCUUGUAGGCCCGGCCGGCGCUUGCCGACAACCAUCAAUCUUUUUUCAGGUUGACCUCGGAUCAGGUAGGGAUACCCGCUGAACCUAAGCAUAUCA
rnacentral:misc_RNA from 1 species